GAUGGCCUAACACAUGCAAGUCGAGCGGCACCUCCCCUCGGGGAGGGAGAGCGGCGCACGGGUGAGUAACACGUAUGCAACCUGCCCACAACAAGGGGAUAGCCCGUCGAAAGACGGAUUAAUACCCUAUGACACAGGGGUCCCGCAUGGGGAUAUUUGUUAAAGAUUAAUCGGUUGUGGAUGGGCAUGCGUUCCAUUAGCUGGUUGGCGGGGUAACGGCCCACCAAGGCAACGAUGGAUAGGGGAACUGAGAGGUUUAUCCCCCACACUGGGACUGAGACACGGCCCAGACUCCUACGGGAGGCAGCAGUGAGGAAUAUUGGUCAAUGGACGCAAGUCUGAACCAGCCAAGUCGCGUGGAGGAUGACGGCCCUACGGGUUGUAAACUCCUUUUGCAGGGGAAUAAAGUUGGCCACGCGUGGCCAUUUGCAUGUACCUUGCGAAUAAGGAUCGGCUAACUCCGUGCCAGCAGCCGCGGUAAUACGGAGGAUCCGAGCGUUAUCCGGAUUUAUUGGGUUUAAAGGGUGCGCAGGCGGCCCGUUAAGUCGGCGGUGAAAUUUUGCGGCUCAACCGUAAAAGUGCCUUCGAUACUGGCGGGCUUGAGUGUGGAUGAAGCGGGCGGAAUUCGUGGUGUAGCGGUGAAAUGCAUAGAUAUCACGAAGAACCCCGAUUGCGAA
rnacentral:rRNA from 1 species